ensembl:lncRNA
CACUGAGGCAUUGUGACUUGUCCAAAAUGGCAAAUAUUGCAUUGCUGGAGGAUCUGGCACAAGCCCCAUUAUGCAGGGAGUGUAUUUUCAAUGCGCAUGCAGAUUUUUUUUGCUGAGUGCGACGCUUGACCUAUUAGAUUUCGUUUUCAAGGCAUAUUUUAUUGUGUCUCUGUAACCAACUCUAACCAGUAUUAGAAAGGGAGACGAAACGCCCCAGUGCAUACCAACGUCUUCUCCCUGGGAGUUUUAGCCACUGGAACAUUCUAACGGCAGAAUGCAGAUCGGUCAGGCAUUUUAAAACCAACCAGGAGCCGAAUAUUGCCUGCAGUCCUCAUGGCAUUAUUUAAUUGAUCCCACAAUACAUACAGUUUCCGUGCAACAGGCCAGAGUGAAAAGGAUUUCCAUAGCUGGAUUUCCCAAUGUCAUUGGAGAAAUUGACUGCAACCACAUCACAAUAAAAGCACCACUGAACAAAUUCAACUUCGUCAAAACUAAAGGUUUCCAUUCUGUCAAUGUGCAGGUCGUCUGUGAUUCACAUUUGGCUUUGUUGAAUGUAGUGGCCAAACGGCCAGGUGGGGGACAAUUAAUUCAUUGUGCAAAACAGUUCAGUUGGCCUUCACCUCCAGGAAGGAGCUGUUGAGGAUGGAUGGCUUAUUGGUUUGCUACAUUGUCAAGGCUUGCAGUGUGCUCAACAAGAGUCAAUAUCAUACGGUUUUAGGACUGCGUCAGCCAAAGCAGCUGAAGCGCUCACCAACGAGGACACCCUUGUAGCCCUGGAAAUGGCUGAGGGGUCAGGCAAAUCAGCCACCUCUGUGAAGACUUCAUGUUUUGUUAUAUUUAUUUUGUUACAUAUAACAAAUAUGUAGAUGUGGCCCAUGUCUGAAUAUGGUUGCAAAAAUAAAGCUUGACUUACC